rnacentral:rRNA from 1 species
UGGGGGAUAUUGCGCAAUGGGGGAAACUCUGAUGCAGCAACGCCGCGUGAAGGAAGAAGGUCUUCGGAUUGUAAACUUCUUUUGUCAGGGACGAAGAAAGUGACGGUACCUGACGAAUAAGCUCCGGCUAACUACGUGCCAGCAGCCGCGGUAAUACGUAGGGAGCGAGCGUUGUCCGGAUUUACUGGGUGUAAAGGGUGCGUAGGCGGCCGAGCAAGUCAGUUGUGAAAACUAUGGGCUUAACCCAUAACGUGCAAUUGAAACUGUCCGGCUUGAGUGAAGUAGAGGUAGGCGGAAUUCCCGGUGUAGCGGUGAAAUGCGUAGAGAUCGGGAGGAACACCAGUGGCGAAGGCGGCCUACUGGGCUUUAACUGACGCUGAGGCACGAAAGCAUGGGUAGCAAACAGGAUUAGAUACCCUGGUAGUCCAUGCCGUAAACGAUGAUUACUAGGUGUGGGGGGACUGACCCCUUCCGUGCCGCAGUUAACACAAUAAGUAAUCCACCUGGGGAGUACGGCCGCAAGGUUGAAACUCAAAGGAAUUGACGGGGGCCCGCACAAGCAGUGGAGUAUGUGGUUUAAUUCGAAGCAACGCGAAGAACCUUACCAGGUCUUGACAUCCUGAGAAUCCUUAAGAGAUUAGGGAGUGCCUUCGGGAACUCAGAGACAGGUGGUGCAUGGUUGUCGUCAGCUCGUGUCGUGAGAUGUUGGGUUAAGUCCCGCAACGAGCGCAACCCUUGCUAUUAGUUGCUACGCAAGAGCACUCUAAUAGGACUGCCGUUGACAAAACGGAGGAAGGUGGGGACGACGUCAAAUCAUCAUGCCCCUUAUGACCUGGGCUACACACGUACUACAAUGGCCAUUAACAGAGGGAAGCAAAACCGCGAGGCAGAGCAAACCCCUAAAAAUGGUCCCAGUUCGGAUUGUAGGCUGCAACCCGCCUACAUGAAGUUGGAAUUGCUAGUAAUCGCGGAUCAGCAUGCCGCGGUGAAUACGUUCCC